GCCCGGCCCCGCCGUGCGCGGACAGAGGAUCCCAACAAAGCGCGGAAAGAAACGCACAAAGCAUCAAACGGCAUCAGCGCCAAUAUUAGCGCUGAAAAUGGAAGAAGUCCUUGGGUUUAUGCCUCUCCCCUGCCCGGACCUGCGGGACCCUGCGGUGAGGACCUCGCUUACUUGGGACUCGGCUCUGUGCUUGGGUUCUGUGACAGCUGGUUGCUGCUUUUAGGAGUUGCAAGGACCAAAGUUCCUGCUACAACAGAGUUUACACAUCAAGCUGAGCCAUACGUGGGCCUCAUGGACAACUGCUACAAAGACUUAACAAAGAUAAAAAACAAUCCACAUGCAUCUUCUUAUUCUUCUGAAGAUACAAACAAGGUACUGUAAGCCAUAGCAUGUUGCAAGUCACAAAAAUCACAAUAGCUAUGUUUUUCUUGUAAGUUUGCUUAAAAAUAUUACUGAAGAACUCUCUGUAUGUGUGGUAGUCAGUA